rnacentral:tRNA from 1 species
GCCGCCUUGGCGCAAUUGGUAGCGCAACGCCCUUGUAAUGCGUAGGUUGUCGGUUCGAGUCCGACAGGCGGCU